AUGCACCCUGUAUACAGUAAAGGAAAAUUGUUUUAGAAUAUAGUUGUAGUUAUUUUUAGCCUCUCAUCUUAACUACAGAAUAUAACUUUCUGUUCUCUUUUUGGUGCAAGAACAAGAACCUUGUCCCCAUAAAAAAUACAAGUUAUACUCCUCAAUUGCACUAAUAUCAAUAUGUGACUAAAAAGUGGACAAACAGUAAAAAAAAAAAAGAUAUGCAAAUCCAAGGCUCGGUGAUUGAAAUAACCAGGAAAGGUCCAAAAGGUAGAUUUUCUAAUACUUAAAAACAAAGACACUAAGACAGAUUUUACCCCCCAUAAGGUUGCACAGGGUUAAUACCAAAACUAGCACGUUUCAGCCAGAGAGAUAUGACUUAUGACUUAUGAGACAAGGAAACAAAGAGAUUAAGCUGAAGAAAUUUUUGACACUCAUCAUUUCCUGAAGUUUAUACUUGUUUAUUUUCGUUCAUAUUGCUGUGACAAUUGUUGAGCACAUUGGAGAGAUACAAUUUUCUUUUGAGCUGAGGAACAUGGAGUUUAAACCUGAAAGGUUCUAUAAGCCCAUCUAAACUAUGCCUGAAAUUGGUACACCCUUUAUUCAUUCAUUUAGAAGUGUUUGAGCCUCUUGAGUUUGUUCUGCCCUUCCUGCUACAUAAUUCAAAAGUCCUUCACCAGCCUUUUCACCAUGAUCUUCUGUUGAGAGUUUUGAAACGCCUCCAAAGGCUAUUAUUGCUACUAAGAACACAGUAGUGGAGGCAAACAAAGGCCAAAAAUAGGCCAGAAUGGCCAGAAAGUGGGGGGCAGCAUAUAACAGCAAAGAAAAUGAUAAUGAAACUACUAUUGCUAUGGUUAUGUGGUAUCUAUAUUGUAGAAGCUUUUCUGAUAUAUCCAUGACGCCUUCAAUAGUACUUUCACUCCAAAGAGAGAGAGAGAGAGAGAGAGAGAGAGAGGAGGAAGAAUGAUAAAGGGGAAUGAAGAGAGAAGUUGAUGGAGAGGGAGAGUGUAUGGUUAUUUA
rnacentral:lncRNA from 1 species